GUCAUCUGUCACUGUCACAAAUCAAUAUCAUUUGAUAUAAAAAAAGAAAAUAUUUGAUUAUUUGUAAUAAAUAGAAAAAUUUAUUGCAGAACAGAUUUAAGGAUAAAAUUGAAUUUAUUUUAGUCUACGAAGCUUACAUACUAGCUUUAAUAAAAUAUCAGAAAUAUUUCAGUACCCAUAUUUGGAAUAUACUAAAAAAUGGCUCUAGCAAUGCAAAGAAAGGCAAACGUACGUUUGCCACCAGAAAUCAAUCGAAUAUUAUAUAUCAGAAACCUUCCAUACAAAAUUACUGCUGAGGAAAUGUAUGAUAUAUUUGGUAAAUAUGGAGCAAUUAGACAAAUUCGGGUAGGAAAUACUCCAGAAACAAGAGGCACUGCAUUUGUAGUUUUUGAAGAUAUCUUUGAUGCCAAGAACGCCUGUGACCAUCUCUCUGGUUUCAAUGUAUGUAAUCGGUACCUAGUUGUAUUAUACUACCAGGCAAAUAAAGCAUUUAAGAAAACAGAUAUAGAUAAGAAACAAGAGGAGAUUGAUAAUAUGAAGAGUAAAUAUGGAAUAAACACAUAAUUUUAAACUGAUAUUGAUAAUUUAGAUUUUUUUUACUUAUUUGUAUUUAUCACUUAAAUUUCUUUCUAAACGCCCAUCUAAAAGUGUUAAGUAGGUAUGUUGUAUUAUUCCAGGGGCGUCAUUUGAUAGGGGGCAGGGGGGCAUUUGCCCCCCCGACCCUGAAAAUUACUGAAAUUUACAAAAAAUAGAUCAAUUUUGUAUUGUUUGCAUAUAAAUGUAUUGUAUAUAUAAUGCUUGCCCCCCCCUAUCAAAAUUUCAAAUGACGCUCCUGCGUAGUUAAUAUAAGAUUAUUGGUUUUGGUGGUUAAUAUUAUUUAAAUAUGAGUGCCAAGAAAGCUUACACUAAAAGAACUUGCUUCGUACUGGGAUUUAUAUCGAGUUAUCGUUCCGAUAAAAAAUUCAAAAGGGAACUUAACGAAGUUAAUAAAGACUUUUUAUAAAGAUUUGUCUUUAUGUUAUUUAUAACGUUCGUGGAUUAAACCUAUUCGUUUGUAUGUUAUUUCCUUCGGUGUAAAUAAAAUUUGUGCCUAUUA
rnacentral:misc_RNA from 1 species